rfam:Camelus ferus unplaced genomic scaffold scaffold662, whole genome shotgun sequence.
GGGGGUAUAGCUCAGUGGUAGAGCACAUGUUUGGCAUACAUGAGGUCCUGGGUUCAAUCCCCAAUGCCUCCA